rnacentral:rRNA from 1 species
GCUGGUUAGUGGCAGACGAGGUAGUAACACGUAGAUACGUACCCUAAAGUCGCGAAUAACUCACCGAAAGGUGUGCUAAUACGCGAUAGUCCCUCCGGGGUAAAGUUUUUCGCUUUAGGAACGGUCUGCGGCAUAUCAGCUAGUUGGUAGGGUAAAAGCCUACCAAGGCUAUGACGUGUAGAAGAGCUGAGAGGCUGACCCUCACCGAUGGGUCUGAGACACGGCCCAUACACCUACGGGUGGCUGCAGUCGAGAAUCUUCCACAAUGGACGAAAGUCUGAUGGAGCGACGCCGCGUGGUUGAUGAAGUGCUUCGGCACGUAAAGACCUUUUAUGAGGGAAGAAGUUUAUUGACGGUACCUCAUGAAUAAGGGGCUCCUAACUCUGUGCCAGCAGGAGCGGUAAUACAGAGGCCCCGAGCGUUAUCCGGAAUUAUUGGGCGUAAAGGGUGUGUAGGUGGUGUAAUUAGUCGGUUGUUAAAGACCUGGGCUCAACCCGGGAAUCGCGACCGAAACGGUUACGCUUGAGUAUGUGAGAGGUAAGCGGAACUCAUGGUGUAGGGGUGAAAUCCGUUGAUAUCAUGGGGAACACCAAAAGCGAACGCAGCUUACUGGCACAUUACUGACACUGAAACACGAAGCGUGGUAGCGAAUGGGAUUAGAUACCCCAGUAGU